GCUUGUCUCAAAGAUUAAGCCAUGCAUGUCUAAGUACAAGCCUCAGUAAGGUGAAACCGCGAAUGGCUCAUUAAAUCACACCUAAUCUACUGGAAAGUUACUAGUUACUUGGAUAACUGAGGUAAUUCUUGAGCUAAUACAUGCGAAAAAUCUCGACUUCGGAAGGGGUGUAUUUAUUAGAUAAAAAACCAAUGCCCUCCGGGGCUCCUUGGUGAUUCAUAAUAACUUAACGAAUCGCAUGGCCUUGCGCCGGCGAUGGUUCAUUCAAAUUUCUGCCCUAUCAACUUUCGAUGGUAAGAUAGUGGCUUACCAUGGUCUCAACGGGUAACGGGGAAUUAGGGUUCUAUUCCGGAGAGGGAGCCUGAGAAACGGCUACCACAUCCAAGGAAGGCAGCAGG
rnacentral:rRNA from 1 species